CCUACGGGUGGCUGCAGUGGGGAAUAUUGGGCAAUGGACGCAAGUCUGACCCAGCAACGCCGCGUGAAGGAAGAAGGCUCUCGGGUUUUUAACUCCCUUUUAGCGGGAAGAGCAGAAGACGGUACCUCUCGAAUAAGCCACGGCUAACUAAGUGCCAGCAGCCGCGGUCAUACGUAGGUCGCAAGCGAUGUCCGGAUUUACUGGGUGUAAAGGGCGUGCAGCCGGAGAGGCAAGUCAGGUGUGAAAUCCACGGGCUCAACCCGUGAACUGCAGUUGAAACUGUUUGCCUUGAGUGUCGGAGAGGUAAGCGGAAUUCCUGGUGUAGCGGUGAAAUGCGUAGAUAUAGGGAAGAACACCGGUGGCGAAGGCAGAUUAUUGGACGAUAACUGACGGUGAGGCACGAAAGCGUGGGGAGCGAACAGGAUUAGAUACCCUAGUAGUC
rnacentral:rRNA from 1 species